rnacentral:rRNA from 1 species
CUUAAAUGAAUUGACGGGGACCCGCACAAGCGGUGGAUGAUGUGGAUUAAUUCGAUGCAACGCGAAAAACCUUACCUACCCUUGACAUGUCUGGAAUGCCGAAGAGAUUUGGCAGUGCUCGCAAGAGAACCGGAACACAGGUGCUGCAUGGCUGUCGUCAGCUCGUGUCGUGAGAUGUUGGGUUAAGUCCCGCAACGAGCGCAACCCUUGUCAUUAGUUGCUACGCAAGAGCACUCUAAUGAGACUGCCGGUGACAAACCGGAGGAAGGUGGGGAUGACGUCAAGUCCUCAUGGCCCUUAUGGGUAGGGCUUCACACGGCAUACAAUGGUCGGGACAGGGGGUCGCCAACCCGCGAGGGGGAGCCAAUCUCAGAAACCCGAUCGUAGUCCGGAUCGCAGUCUGCAACUCGACUGCGUGAAGUCGGAAUCGCUAGUAAUCGCGGAUCAGAAUGUCGCGGUGAAUACGUUCCCGGGUCUUGUACACACCGCCCGUCACACCA